rnacentral:rRNA from 1 species
GAUGAACGCUGGCGGCGUGCCUAAUACAUGCAAGUCGAAUGAAGCCUUCGGGCUUAGUGGCGGACGGGUGAGUAACACGUUGGUACCUGCCUCGAAGUGGGGAAUAACCGGCCGAAAGGUCGGCUAAUACCGCAUGCGAUCGCAAGAUCAAAGUCGUAAGACGCUUCGAGAGGGGCCUGCGUCCCAUUAGCUAGUUGGUAGGGUAAUGGCCUACCAAGGCGACGAUGGGUAGCUGGAUCGAGAGGUUGACCAGCCACACUGGGACUGAGAUACGGCCCAGACUCCUACGGGAGGCAGCAGUAAGGAAUCUUCCACAAUGGACGAAAGUCUGAUGGAGCAACGCCGCGUGCAGGAUGACGGCCUUCGGGUUGUAAACUGCUUUUAUAUGGGAAGAUUAUGACGGUACCAUAUGAAUAAGGACCGGCUAACUACGUGCCAGCCGCCGCGGUAA